AUUCUUAAGAUACAUUUAGUUGUUUCUUCAUUUCUAUGAACAACUUAUACUUAAUUUCAGAGUCUAUUCUUAUAUUUCAGUCAUAUGCUUACAUCUACAUUCAAGUCUUGAAGAAUUUUCAAGGUGAAAUAAACAAUUCAGUUGGCUGAAUUUUCAUCUCUGGAUGGGAGGAGACUGGUAAAAAAUAAACACGUAUACAUAGCUGUUACUUUGAGGCAAGCUUAGUGUUUUAGAUGCAUUGAUUCAUUAGAGAGGAAGAAAGUGAUGCAUAGAAACGUUAAGUCACAUGCCCAAAAUGCCAUAGCUCAAAAAACCAAGAUGCAAAACCAGGCCGACUUGCUCCCAUCUUGCUUCUUAAUCACUCUGUUAUUCUGCAUCUCACACACACACAUACACACAAACACCCUGCAUAUCCAAGUAGGAAGAGGAUUUUUUUCCAGUGAUCUAAUUAUCUUAUGCUACAAUUGUAAUAACUAUAGUUAUCACAGGUGUAUUGGUUAUGCUUUCUCAGUCAAUAUUCAGCCAAUUUGACUAAGAUGAAAAUCUCAUUUGCAAUUAAAGAAACUUUAAAAAGGAAAGGAAUUCUGCUAAUGCUUUUGAGCCCUUAUUUAUAUAGUAAAUCUCUUCCUCACUUCACUCUCAUUAAAUGAAACAUUAUAAUUAAUUCUUGUUUUCUUUCUUACUUUGGUAUAAAUAUUUCUACAAUAGUUUUAGUUAAUUAUAGUUAUUGCUGGCACUUCUGAUGAAUAACGAUUCCUGACCAAAAUAAGGCAUCCUUUUCUGAAAAGAUGAAAAUUUACAAGUACAGAAAAAGCAAGUGCCAUAUUUUGUUUUUGUUGAAGUCUUCUAGUUAUUUUUUUCAGUCCUAUUUCUUAAAAUUAAAUGUGAAGAUCCUUGUUACACUGAAAUUAAUUCAUAGUUCUGGGUUUGAAAUUAUAUUUUUUUCUCAACUUUAGCUCUGUUAGUCUUCAUGUAACACAGAUAAAUGAAUGCCCUUUCAAAUACUUAUUAAUAAUUUCAUAAUUUCAUGUGAAUGCAACAAUGAUCAGUAAUAUUAAUCUCUCUCUGGGAAAGUAUAAUUUAUUAAUCUUUUUCAUGAUAAAUUGAUGCAAUUUUAAUAGCAAUAUUUAAUUUUUUUCUAAAAGUAGUAACUUCUUUUUCUGAUUAUAUGGCAGAAUAUGUGGCUGUACAUUAACCUUUAUUUAUAAUAAGUGUAAGGAUUCCUUAUAGAAUAAUAUGAUUUAUUUAUCAUAAAAAAUGUUAUAUGUCACUGGAAAAAUAUUUUAAGAUUUCAUGAGUUCUUUCAACUUCUUAAUAAUCUUUUAGAAGUAAAAACAAAUUUUAACAAAGCUACUAGGAUCAAAUAGCUAAUGUAUAUUUAUCUUAUUUUUCUAAAAAUGUUGUUUCCAGUAAUAUAUUCUCAACUCCAGAGUUUAAGCAAUCAAGCUUGAAAUAAUUAUAUCAUUUGCUAUCUGAAUUUAGAGCAACUGACAGAGUUGGGAAUGACUUUCCCAAGGUCAUGGUUCACUUUCAAAAAUACAGCAUUAAUCAUGUCACCCCAUGUAUUAAAUUUUUCCAUGGGCAUACACCAUCAGAGGGCCUAAGGACAGUUCCUCUUUGCCCAGCACUGCCCCUGCCAGUGCUUGCCCACGUCAUUGAGGCCUGAGGAUCAACUCAACCUGCCUGAGUCCAGACACCUUGCCCAGGGAUUUGAAGAUUCACCCAACCCAUCUACCACCACUGGUGUCUAUGCACUCCUCCUAGCGGUCUAAGGACAUGUCUGUCAAGCUUGCCAUCACCACUGCUGCCAGAACCCACCUGCAUGAGCCACAUGGGGACCUGAGGAUGGGUCCUUUCAGCCUACUACCACCACUGCUGAUGUCCAUGUGUACCGCUUGGGGAUCUGAGGAUAGGUUCAGUGCUACUACUGCCUUCACUGAUGCCAUGCAUGCCACCCAUGGACCCAAGGACCUAACUGCCCACCCAGCCCACCACUGCUACUGCCAGAACCUGAGUAAGCUGCCUGGACGUGCUACCACGAUACCUGCAUAUACCACCCAGGGGCCUAAAGACUGGCAUGCUCAGCUCACUGUUGCCACCAGUGGGGCCCAAGGAUUAACCUACCUUGUGUCCCUGUCCUCAGCAAAGCCUCACCAUAGCCUCUACUAACAACUACAGCUUAAGCUGCUGAGGAACACAAAGACGUCACUGAUGCUGAUUUUAACCAAACAAAUCAUACAGAGACUACUGUACCCACCUAGAAUCAAAGCCAAAGCUCCUUAUUCAACGAACACUCUAGUUUGUCUAUAAAGAAAAACAUCUUUCCUUAUGAAACCAAAUCUAUAAAAUUGGAAGAAGCAAGUGUUUUAUCAAAAUAGAGAUAUCAUUGUAAGGACAGAAGAAACAUGAAAAGGAAACAUGACACCUCUAAUGGAACACAAUAAUUCUCCAGCAACAUACUCAAGAAAAAGAAAUUAUGAAAUUCCUGAAAAGGAAUUCAACAUAAUGAUAUUAAAGAAGCUCAGUAAAAUACAAGAGAACACAGAUAAAAAAUACAAAGAAUUCAGAAAAACAGUUUACGAUCUGAAUGAGAAAUUUGACAGAGAUAUUAUAAAAAAGAGUCAAAC